UGGGGAAUAUUGCACAAUGGGGGAAACCCUGAUGCAGCGACGCCGCGUGGAGGAAGAAGGUCUUCGGAUUGUAAACUCCUGUUGUUGAGGAAGAUAAUGACGGUACUCAACAAGGAAGUGACGGCUAACUACGUGCCAGCAGCCGCGGUAAAACGUAGGUCACAAGCGUUGUCCGGAAUUACUGGGUGUAAAGGGAGCGCAGGCGGGAAGACAAGUUGGAAGUGAAAACCAUGGGCUCAACCCAUGAAUUGCUUUCAAAACUGUUUUUCUUGAGUAGUGCAGAGGUAGAUGGAAUUCCCGGUGUAGCGGUGGAAUGCGUAGAUAUCGGGAGGAACACCAGUGGCGAAGGCGGUCUACUGGGCACCAACUGACGCUGAGGCUCGAAAGCAUGGGUAGCAAACAGGAUUAGAUACCCUGGUAGUCCAUGCCGUAAACGAUGAUUACUAGGUGUUGGGGGAUUGACCCCCUCAGUGCCGCAGUUAACACAAUAAGUAAUCCACCUGGGGAGUACGACCGCAAGGUUGAAACUCAAAGGAAUUGACGGGGGCCCGCACAAGCAGUGGAGUAUGUGGUUUAAUUCGAAGCAACGCGAAGAACCUUACCAGGUCUUGACAUCCGAUGCAUAGCACAGAGAUGUGUGAAAUCCUUCGGGACAUCGAGACAGGUGGUGCAUGGUUGUCGUCAGCUCGUGUCGUGAGAUGUUGGGUUAAGUCCCGCAACGAGCGCAACCCUUAUUGCCAGUUACUACGUUAAGAGGACUCUGGCGAGACUGCCGUUGACAAAACGGAGGAAGGUGGGGAUGACGUCAAAUCAUCAUGCCCUUUAUGACCUGGGCUACACACGUACUACAAUGGCGUUAAACAAAGAGAAGCAAGACCGCGAGGUGGAGCAAAACUCAGAAACAACGUCCCAGUUCGGACUGCAGGCUGCAACUCGCCUGCACGAAGUCGGAAUUGCUAGUAAUCGUGGAUCAGCAUGCCACGGUGAAUACGUUCCC
rnacentral:rRNA from 1 species